UAGAGAUUAGGCCGAAAGGAGAAAGCAAAAUUAAGCAAGCAAUCGCUAAUUGAAGGACUUGGCCUAUGUUUUCUGACUUGUUACUUCAAAAGUCAACUUCUAUUGAGAAUAUGGAGGUUGCUAAAUAAUGAAAGUUGAAAGGUUUAAAUUCAUUCUAAGAUCUCAAUUUUAGUCACUGCAAAGAGUUCAAAAGCUAUAAGGUGUUUAACUGUCAGGAGCAAUUUUGUUUGAGGCAAAGAUUUCUUCGGGAAGCAGAUGUGUGAAAAUUUGUCAAAAAUGCAGGCUAAACAAACCUCACUGCCUAUCCUGGACAGAUUUGAAUGUUCAGUUAACAA
rnacentral:misc_RNA from 1 species